GAUAAACGUUGGCGGUGUGCCUUAUGCAUGCAAGUCGUACGAGGCUAUGAUCUUCGGAUUGUAACCGAGUGGCGGACGGCUGAGUAACGCGUAAGCAACUUGCCUGUGAGUGGGGGAUAACCUGUCGAAAGGCAGGCUAAUACCGCAUAAGAUAAACGAGUGAUGCUUGUUUAUUAAAGCCUUAGGGUGCUUGCAGAGGGGCUUGCGUCUGAUUAGCUAGUUGGCAGGGUAAUGGCCUACCAAGGCGAUGAUCAGUAGCUGGCCUGAGAGGGUGUCCAGCCAGAUGGGGGCUGAGACACGGCCCCAACUCCUACGGGAGGCAGCAGCAAGGAAUAUUGGGCAAUGGGCGAAAGCCUGACCCAGCGACACCGCGUGAGGGAAGAAGGCCUUCGGGUUGUAAACCUCUUUUCUCGAGGAAGAAUUCUGACGGUACUCGAGGAAUAAGUCUUGGCUAACUACGUGCCAGCAGCCGCGGUAAUACGUAGAAGGCGGACGUUAUCCGGAUUUACUGGGCGUAAAGAGAGCGUAGGCGGCUCUUCAAGUCAAGCGUGAAAUCUUCUGACUCAAUCGGAAGGCGCCACUUGAUACUAGAGGGCUUGAGGGCAGCAGAAGGAAAUGGAAUUCCCAGUGUAGCGGUGAAAUGCGUUGAUAUUGGGAAGAACACCAGUGGCGAAGGCGAUUUCCUAGGUUGUUUCUGACGCUGAGGCUCGAAAGCGUGGGGAGCGAAGCGGAUUAGAUACCCGCGUAGUCCACGCCUUAAACGGUGGACACUAGAUAUGGGGAGUAUCGACCCUUUUCGUGUCGAAGCUACGCUUUAAGUGUCCCGCCUGGGGAGUACGGCCGCAAGGCUA
rnacentral:rRNA from 1 species